rnacentral:rRNA from 1 species
UACGUAGGGUCCAAGCGUUAUCCGGAAUCACUGGGCGUAAAGCGUGCGUAGGCGGCGUGUUAAGUGUGAUGUUAAAUCGUGUGGCUCAACCAUAUCGAUGCAUCGCAUACUGGCAUGCUAGAGGAAGGCAGAGGCAAGUGGAAUUAGUAGUGUAGCAGUGAAAUGCGUAGAGAUUACUAGGAACACCAAUGGCGAAGGCAGCUUGCUGGGCCUUUUCUGACGCUGAGGUACGAAAGCAUGGGGAGCGAACAGG